GAUGAACGCUGGCGGCGUGCCUAAUACAUGCAAGUCGAGCGAACGGACGAGAAGCUUGCUUCUCUGAUGUUAGCGGCGGACGGGUGAGUAACACGUGGAUAACCUACCUAUAAGACUGGGAUAACUUCGGGAAACCGGAGCUAAUACCGGAUAAUAUUUUGAACCGCAUGGUUCAAAAGUGAAAGUCGGUCUUGCUGUCACUUAUAGAUGGAUCCGCGCUGCAUUAGCUAGUUGGUAAGGUAACGGCUUACCAAGGCAACGAUGCAUAGCCGACCUGAGAGGGUGAUCGGCCACACGGGAACUGAGACACGGUCCAGACUCCUACGGGAGGCAGCAGUAGGGAAUCUUCCGCAAAGGGCGAAAGCCUGACGGAGCAACGCCGCGUGAGUGAUGAAGGUCUUCGGAUCGUAAAACUCUGUUAUUAGGGAAGAACAUAUGUGUAAGUAACUGUGCACAUCUUGACGGUACCUAAUCAGAAAGCCACGGCUAACUACGUA
rnacentral:rRNA from 1 species